rnacentral:rRNA from 1 species
AUUGAACGCUGGCGGCAGGCCUAACACAUGCAAGUCGAACGGUAGCACAGAGAGCUUGCUCUCGGGUGACGAGUGGCGGACGGGUGAGUAACGUCUGGGAAACUGCCCGAUGGAGGGGGAUAACUACUGGAAACGGUAGCUAAUACCGCAUAACGUCGCAAGACCAAAGUGGGGGACCUUCGUGCCUCACACCAUCGGAUGUGCCCAGAUGGGAUUAGCUAGUAGGUGGGGUAAUGGCUCACCUAGGCGACGAUCCCUAGCUGGUCUGAGAGGAUGACCAGCCACACUGGAACUGAGACACGGUCCAGACUACUACGGGGGGCAGCAGUGGGGAAUAUUGCACAAUGGGCGCAAGCCUGAUGCAGCCAUGCCGCGUGUAUGAAGAAGGCCUUCGGGUUGUAAAGUACUUUCAGCGGGGAGGAAGGCGGUGAAGUUAAUAGCUUCACCGAUUGACGUUACCCGCAGAAGAAGCACCGGCUAACUCCGUGCCAGCCGCCGCAGUAA